GCUGCCGUAGCUCAGUCAGCAGAGCGGCUGAUUCGUACUCAGCAGGUCGUGGGUGCAAAUCCUACCGGCAGCUCCA
rnacentral:tRNA from 1 species